GCAGAUUUGUGGUGCUCUGUGAGCCGUCUGUCCUGCGCCAAGAUGCUUCAAAGUAUUAUUAAAAACAUAUGGAUCCCCAUGAAGCCCUACUACACCCAAGUUUACCAGGAGAUUUGGAUAGGAAUGGGGCUGAUGGGCUUCAUCGUUUAUAAAAUCCGGGCCGCUGAUAAAAGAAGUAAGGCUUUGAAAGGUAAGAUUUUUGCUUCUGAAAAUGGUUGGGAAUGGAAAACAGCAUCAUGUCUUUUCAGGACAAGGUAUAUCAUUGUUCUCAAUUGAAACUGAAACACGGUUCAGUACAUAUGUAAGGUGCAGUCCAAAUGCUUCACAGCUUGAAGUUUGCUAUGCCUGCUGGGAAAGAGAAUUCUGAAUUUCUGCUUUUUAUAGUCAAGUGGAUCAAGUAAAACUUCCAGGAGUAAUAGAGGAAUGGAUUAGUUAGAGGUAGUCGAUAUCAUCACCAAUAGGGAAGCACAAGCAAACUGUGCGAGCAUGCUGUCCUAGAAGUUCCCUAAUGAUGUGGUUUUAUUUUGUUUAUUGUUUUUUGAGACGGAGUCUCGCUCUGUCGCCCAGGCUGGAGUGCACUGGUGCAAUCUCGGCUCGCUGCAACCUCCGCCUCCCGGGUUCACGUCAUUCUCCUGCCUCAGCCUCCCGAGUAACUGGGACUACAGGCACCCGCCGCCAUGCCUGGCUAAUUUUUUGUAUUUUUAGUAGAGACAGGGUUUCACAUAGCCAGGAUGGUCUCAGUCUCCUGACCUUGUGAUCCACCUGCCUCAGCCUACCCGUAAUGAUGGGUAAUGGUUUUGUUUUGUUUUUUUUUUUUGGAGAGGAGACAGAGUCUCGCUGUGUUGCCCAGGCUGGAGUGCAGUGGCACAAUCUUGGCUCACUGCAACCUCCACCUUCCAGGUUCAAGCAAUUCUCCUGCCUCAG
rnacentral:sRNA from 1 species